rnacentral:snRNA from 1 species
AUACUUACCUGGCAGGGAUGAUACUAUGAUCACAAAGGUAGUUCGUCUACGGUGAGGCUUUGCCAUUGCACUCCGGCAUGCUGACCUGUACGAAUUCCUCACAUGCAGGAAUCUCGACUGCACAAUUUGUGGUAGUGGGGGACUGCGUUCGCGCUCUCCCCUC